rnacentral:rRNA from 1 species
GAUGAACGCUGGCGGCGUGCUUAACACAUGCAAGUCGAACGAAGCACUUUACCACGAUUCCUUCGGGAUGACGGUUUAGUGACUGAGUGGCGGACGGGUGAGUAACGCGUGGGGAACCUGCCCCAUACCGGGGGAUAACAGCCGGAAACGGCUGCUAAUACCGCAUAAGCGCACAGUACCGCAUGGUACGGUGUGAAAAACUCCGGUGGUAUGGGAUGGACCCGCGUCUGAUUAGCCAGUUGGCGGGGUAACGGCCCACCAAAGCGACGAUCAGUAGCCGGCCUGAGAGGGCGACCGGCCACAUUGGGACUGAGACACGGCCCAGACUCCUACGGGAGGCAGCAGUGGGGAAUAUUGCACAAUGGGGGAAACCCUGAUGCAGCGACGCCGCGUGAGUGAGGAAGUAUUUCGGUAUGUAAAGCUCUAUCAGCAGGGAAGAAGAAAUGACGGUA